rnacentral:rRNA from 1 species
GUAACGACUCUCGGCAACGGAUAUCUCGGCUCUCGCAUCGAUGAAGAACGUAGCGAAAUGCGAUACUUGGUGUGAAUUGCAGAAUCCCGUGAACCAUCGAGUCUUUGAACGCAAGUUGCGCCCGAAGCCUUCUGGCCGAGGGCACGUCUGCCUGGGCGUCACGCU